UACGGAGGGUGCAAGCGUUAUCCGGAUUCACUGGGUUAAAAGGGUGCGUAGGUGGGCAGGUAAGUCAGUGGUGAAAUCUCCGGGCUUAACUCGGAAACUGCCAUUGAUACUAUCUUUCUUGAAUACCGUGGAGGUCAGCGGAAUAUGUCAUGUAGCGGUGAAAUGCUUAGAUAUGACAUAGAACACCAAUUGCGAAGGCAGCUGGCUACACGAAUAUUGACACUGAUGCACGAAAGCGUGGGGAUCAAACAGG
rnacentral:rRNA from 1 species